UUCUCCCUGACUCCUUGAGAGUCCUGAAGGAACGUUGAAGACGACGACGUUGAUAGGCCGGGUGUGUAAGCGCAGCGAUGCGUUGAGCUAACCGGUACUAAUGAACCGUGAGGCUUAACCUU
rnacentral:rRNA from 1 species